rnacentral:rRNA from 1 species
AUUGAACGCUGGCGGCAGGCCUAACACAUGCAAGUCGAGCGGGGUGAGGUGCUUCGGUACUGAUCCUAGCGGCGGACGGGUGAGUAAUGCUUAGGAAUCUGCCUAUUAGUGGGGGACAACAUUCCGAAAGGAAUGCUAAUACCGCAUACGUCCUACGGGAGAAAGCAGGGGAUCUUCGGACCUUGCGCUAAUAGAUGAGCCUAAGUCGGAUUAGCUAGUUGGUGGGGUAAAGGCCUACCAAGGCGACGAUCUGUAGCGGGUCUGAGAGGAUGAUCCGCCACACUGGGACUGAGACACGGCCCAGACUCCUACGGGAGGCAGCAGUGGGGAAUAUUGGACAAUGGGCGGAAGCCUGAUCCAGCCAUGCCGCGUGUGUGAAGAAGGCCCUUUGGUUGUAAAGCACUUUAAGCGAGGAGGAGGCUACCUAGAUUAAUACUCUGGGAUAGUGGACGUUACUCGCAGAAUAAGCACCGGCUAACUCUGUGCCAGCAGCCGCAGUAA